UCAUGAAGUCGGAAUCGCUAGUAAUCGCAUAUCAGAACGAUGCGGUGAAUACGUUCCCGGGCCUUGUACACACCGCCCGUCACUACCACGAAAGUUUGUUGUACCCGAAGUCGGUGCCUUAACCUCGCAAGAGGAGAGAGCCGCCCAAGGUAUGGCCGAUGAUUGGGGUGAAGUCGUAACAAGGUAGCCGUAGGGGAACCUGCGGCUGGAUCACCUCCUUUCUAGGAGAGAAGGGGUCCUGGAUGAAGCGCUCCUAUUUAGUCUUGUGAAGGAUCCGAGUGGAAGCCGGGACCGGAGAAAGACCGGGCCUGUAGCUCAGAUGGUGAGAGCGCACGCCUGAUAAGCGUGAGGUCGAUAGUUCGAAUCUAUCCAGGCCCACCAUCUGCGG
rnacentral:rRNA from 1 species